rnacentral:lncRNA from 1 species
AAUUUCACAGCUUCACUUUGUUCUCAGAUUUUGGUUUGGCUGGCACAGAAGUAUGACCACAAGAUGGACCUAAAAUAUGCACAUUUGUAAGAUUUUCCCCCAUGGUGGGAUUCACACCAUCUGCUCCCCGGUUCUCUGAUCCAAUCUGUAUUCAUCACCAGAUUUCCUGGGUUUCUAACUUACAGACAACAAAUUGUGAGACUUCUCAGCCUCCAUAAUCACAUGAACCACCUUCUCUUAAUAAAUAUAUGUAUUUAUGUGCUGGGCUCAGUGGCUGACACCUUUAACACCAGCAAUUCAGGAGGCCGAGGUGGGCGGAUCACCUGAGGUCGGGAUUUAGAGACCAGCUUGACCAACAUGGAGAAACCCCAUCUCUACUAAAAAUACAAAAUUAGCCAGGACUGGUGGCUUAUGCCUGUAAUCCCAGCUAUUUGGGGGGCUGAGGCAGGAGAAUUGC